UCACGAGGUAGCAAUACUUUGGUGGCGACCGGCGCACGGGUGAGUAACGCGUAUGCAACCUGCCUUUUACAGGAGGAUAGCUUCCGGAAACGGAAAUUAAUACUCCAUAAAGAUAUUUUGAGGCAUCUUAAGAUAUUUAAAGCUACGGCGGUAAGAGAUGGGCAUGCGUAACAUUAGCUAGUUGGUGAGGUAACAGCUCACCAAGGCCACGAUGUUUAGGGGUCCUGAGAGGGUCCACCCCCACACUGGUACUGAGACACGGACCAGACUCCUACGGGAGGCAGCAGUGAGGAAUAUUGGUCAAUGGGCGCAAGCCUGAACCAGCCAUCCCGCGUGCAGGAAGACGGCCCUAUGGGUUGUAAACUGCUUUUCUGAGGGAAGAAUAAGAUCGAUUCGUUCGGUUGAUGACGGUACCUCAGGAAUAAGCAUCGGCUAACUCCGUGCCAGCAGCCGCGGUAAUACGGAGGAUGCAAGCGUUAUCCGGAUUCAUUGGGUUUAAAGGGUGCGUAGGCGGGCUGUCAAGUCAGUGGUGAAAUCUUUCGGCUUAACCGGGAAACUGCCAUUGAAACUGAUAGUCUUGAGUCAGGUAGAGGUAGGCGGAAUGUGUAAUGUAGCGGUGAAAUGCUUAGAUAUUACACAGAACACCGAUUGCGUAGGCAGCUUACUGGACCUGCACUGACGCUGAUGCACG
rnacentral:rRNA from 1 species